UACGAAGGGGGCUAGCGUUGCUCGGAAUCACUGGGCGUAAAGCGCACGUAGGCGGACUCUUAAGUCGGUGGUGAAAUCCUGGAGCUCAACUCCAGAACUGCCUCGAUACUGGGAGUCUCGAGUCCGGGAGAGGUGAGUGGAACUGCGAGUGUAGAGGUGAAAUUCGUAGAUAUUCGCAAGAACACCAGUGGCGAAGGCGGCUCACUGGCCCGGUACUGACGCUGAGGUGCGAAAGCGUGGGGAGCAAACAGG
rnacentral:rRNA from 1 species